GUUGACCUCGGAUCGGGUAGGGAUACCCGCUGAACUUAAGCAUA
rnacentral:rRNA from 2 species